AGGGGCUUGUCCGAGUCUGGCCGAAGGAGAUGGACUUAAGAUCCAUUCACAGCACCCGUCGAGGGUUCGAAUCCCUCAGACCCUA
rnacentral:tRNA from 2 species